rnacentral:lncRNA from 1 species
UUUUUUUUUUGCUUUUUGCUUUUUGGGGCCACACUCAGGGUAUAUACGGAGGUUCCCAGGCUAGGAGUUGAAUCAGAGCUACAGCUGCCGGCCUAUGCCACAGCCACAGGAACGCCGGAUCUGAGCCAUGUCUGCAGCCUAUACUACAGCUCUCGGCAACGCCGGAUCCUUAACCCAAUGAGAGAGGUCAGGGAUCAAACCCACAACCUCGUGGUUCCUAGUCAGAGAUUCGUUUCCGCUGAGACACGACAGGAGCUCCCACACUCUAUUUUAUUUUAAUUUUUUUUGUCUUUUUGCCUUUUCUAGAGCCACACCCACGGCAUAUGGAGGUUCCCAGGCUAGGGGUCGAAUUGGAGCUGUAGCUGCCAAGCCUACGCCAGAGCCACAGCAACAUGGGAUCCGAGCCACGUCUGUGACCUACACCACAGCUCACUGCAACGCCAGAUCCUUAGCCCACUGAGCAAGGCCAGGGAUUGAACCCACAACUUCAUGGUUCUUAGUCAGAUUUGUUAACCACUGAGCCACGACGGGAACUCCCUCCCACACUCUAUUUUAAAACACGUAUUUUUUGGAGUUUGUUAGUUUUUAAAGUGGGAAGGUAAUUACGAUUAUUACUCCAUCAUGGGAAAAUGCUUCUCAGAGAAUCUGUCCCAAUAGACUAGCAUGAAACAAAAAUCAAGGACAUACAGUCAAUAACUUUUACCUAUGCAUUCAAUGUAUUUGUUCAGUGUUCUUAUUUAAAACUACUUAGCUGCUAUAGGUUUGGUUGUAUUAUUGCAUUAGUUUAUUGAAGCUGCUGUAACAGAUUACAACAAACCUGUUACUUGAAACAACACAUGUUUAUUUUCUGAUGGUUCUGGAGUCCCAGAUGUCUGAAAUUAGUAUCACUGCCCUAAAACAAAGGUCUGAGCAGGGCCAUACUCCCUCUGGAGUCUCUAGGGGACAGUCUUUUCCUAACCUCUUCUAGGUACUGGUGGCUGCUGACAUUCCUUGGCUUUUGUUCGCAUCACUGCAAUCUUAAAGUUGGCAUUCUCAAUUCUCUCUCUACUCUGUCUUCAUGGAGUCUUCUCCUCUGUACAUGCAUCAGAUUUCCCUCUGCCUCUUUUAUAAGAAUACUUAUGAUUGCAGUUGGGUGUCACCCUGAUAAUCUAGGAUAAUCCCCCCACCUCAAAUUCUUUAACUUAAUUACAGCUGCAAAGACCCUAUCUUGUGAUAAAAGAAAACAUGCAUAGGAAAUAAGACAUGAAUUUCUUUCGAAGGAGUCAUUUUUCAGCCCAGUACCAUUGCCUUGUUUUUAUGUUUUGUUUUGUUUAUUUUGGCCAACAUUUCAUUUUGCCCACUGCCAGUAUUAACUGCAGAAUAAACCUUCUCUCUCUGAACAGGCGUGAUGCUCAGUAAAUAAAUCUCUGGAGAUUUCAGAAAAACAAGGUAACAGUUGAGAAUAGUAAUAGUUUCCCAAUAGACUAGCAUGAAACAAAAAUUAAUAUAUCUUUUGCAUCAAUUUCCAAGUUUUCUAAGUUUCAAAUUUGCCCUAUUUUUGACUCUCCAAGUUACAUGGGGGAGAGCCAAAGGGAUAAAAUUAAUUAUUCAGUUUAAUAACAAUGACAACAACAAAGCUCAUGGUUCCUCCUCAAAGGUGGAAAACUACAUGAAGGAUAAAAAUCCUUAAGUAACAAAACUGUCUGUAAAAAUCUAUGCUGAUUUGAUAAGUUUUCAGUUGCAUGAGAGCCUAGCACAAAGUAAGCACUUAAUAAAUAUAUGCUAAAAAAGAAAGCAUGCAUGAAUGAAAAGAAUAAAUGUAUAAAUGACUAAAGUGAGACAUUACUUCAUAUAAAGAAUAUCAUCUGUUCACAGGCACACAUGAGUAAUUACAUAACAGAUAUUUCCCUGAUGCUGUGAUUCUAAAAAGUGAUUACAAAACUUUCAUGAUUAACUCAUUUGUUUGCAAAUUUUUUAAUGUAUCCACAAAUGGACUUGUGAUUUACUUUUGAAAAGUGAACAUUCUUAAAGGACACAAAUGCUUCCCAGCUCACAUUCAGUUUUCUUCCAGCAGUUCUAUGUGGGUAUACAAAAGUGUGCAGCAUUCAGAAUAAGUUGAAUCAUUCUCGCAAGCUUUCUAGCAUAGUCAUUUUACAAUCUGUGCACAUGCACAGAACAUAGGAACCAGAAAAGAUGAACCCAAAUAUGAGGCAGUUCACACCUAGAGUUAUUGUAGGAUGGCAUCAUGACCCUUGGCUUAGUGUGGCUUGGAGGUAGGACUUUUUGGUGUGCUCUAGAACCUCAUCUCUAGGUCCUACACUGCCAUGUAUUGGAUAUGUGACCUUGUAUACACUGUGUAACUUAUUUAUCAAUCUAUAUUAUGAUGAAAGUCUAAAUUUUACAUAUUUCAGAGGGUUGUUUCUAAAACAUUGGAGACAACUGCAUUAUCUGAUCUUGAAGAACUGAAGCUUGGUAUUUCUUUAUCCUGGGAAUAUUGCAUUAGAACCUGAAAAAAAAAAUAGUAGGGAUACAAAAUAUGUUAAACAGGGAUAGUCCUAAAUGAUUGUACACAUAUAAGGUGUGAUGUGAUAUUCAUCCAUUGCAAAGCAAAUUGGAAACUGAAACAAAAAUAAAAAACAAAACUGACAUGUCUUUGAAUUUCUUCCACCGUGGGCACAUACGGGAGCUAGGAUUUUAGAAAACAAAGCAAACAAAAAAUGCUAAUAGACCUAAUGGAUACUCUAGUGGAGAAGUCCAUUCAGUGAUAAACAGAAAGGGGAGCAAAAAGCCUGAGUCUUUGAUGGGAAAACAGGAAUGAGAACAUGGAUGCUGAUGCUAAAUGAAAAAGCCAGGAGCCCAUCUUAUAAGUGGCAUAUGGGAGCAAAAGCCAGAAAUCAGAUGAAAAGCUAGCUGAAACACAAAGAGAUCAAACAAUUAAGGAUGGGCAUUGACGAUCGAUCGAUACAGAAUUUAGUGGUUGGUUAUGGCUAAUCUAUUGUGACUGGUAAGUGUGGUGCCCUUGCAGUUCUGUGGCGCAGGACUAAAAAAGUUGGCAGCAAAAGGGCUGAUAUAAUAUAUUAAGAACAACAAUCAAAUUUUUUUUAGCUAAAUUAGUCUUUGAAAGAUUAGAAUGAUUAGCACUUUGGAGAGUAUGGUAUUCCUUUCAAAGCUGGAGUAGCCACAGGAUAAAAUGCUUGACAGGGAAAAAUUUUGAUAGAAAGUAACACUUCUUUUAAGAGAAGUUUCCUUUUUUUCCCCUCUGUACAAUCUCCUUUACAACUUGAAAUAGAUAGCCCCUUGUAGAGGCAUUUUGAGUGGCAGGUUUUGUGGUGCUAUUGUAGAGC